GACGAACGCUGGCGGCGUGCUUAACACAUGCAAGUCGAGCGGUAAGGCCCCUUCGGGGGUACACGAGCGGCGAACGGGUGAGUAACACGUGAGCAAUCUGCCCAUCACAUCGGGAUAACUCCGGGAAACCGAAGCUAAUACCGAAUACGACCACCUCCGGCAUCGGAUGGUGGUGGAAAGUUCCGGCGGUGAUGGAUGAGCUCGCGGCCUAUCAGCUUGUUGGUGGGGUAACGGCCCACCAAGGCUUCGACGGGUAGCCGGCCUGAGAGGGUGACCGGCCACACUGGGACUGAGACACGGCCCAGACUCCUACGGGAGGCAGCAGUGGGGAAUAUUGGACAAUGGGCGAAAGCCUGAUCCAGCAACGCCGCGUGAGGGAUGACGGCCUUCGGGUUGUAAACCUCUUUCAGCAGGGACGAAGCGCAAGUGACGGUACCUGCAGAAGAAGCACCGGCCAACUACAUG
rnacentral:rRNA from 1 species